rnacentral:misc_RNA from 1 species
GAGAGAGAGAGAGAGAGAAUUAAAUAUUAGAAUAUCUGGAAAAAGAAUAAAACAAACAUAAAUUUCAUAUUUAGGUUUAUAGGGUAAUUAUCACACACAGUCGCUCAGCUUUAUUAGUGUUUUCAUAAAAAUCACCGAAUUUUAAUUUCUACUCACUGAACUUCAAUUUAAUUUCAUAAAAAUCACUGUAACUAGAAAUUAAAGAUUUUCAUAUUAAUCUACUGACCUAUCAACUAUUUUACAAA